AAGACUAUAGACCUGCGGAGUACCUGCGGAAGGAUCAUUAAAGAGUUUAACUACUCAAACCAUUGUGAACCUUACCUCAACCGUUGCUUCGGCGGGCGGGCCCGGGCCAAGCCCGGCGCCCCCCCGGCCCCUCGCGGGCGCCCGCCGGAGGUUAACCGAACCCUUGAAUUGUAUGGCCUCUCUGAGUCUUCUGUACUGAAUAAGUCAAAACUUUUAACAACGGAUCUCUAGAUCGGAAGA
rnacentral:misc_RNA from 1 species